AUUGAACGCUGGCGGCAGGCCUAACACAUGCAAGUCGAGCGGAUGAAGAGAGCUUGCUCUCUGAUUUAGCGGCGGACGGGUGAGUAAUGCCUAGGAAUCUGCCUGGUAGUGGGGGAUAACGUUCCGAAAGGAACGCUAAUACCGCAUACGUCCUACGGGAGAAAGCAGGGGACCUUCGGGCCUUGCGCUAUCAGAUGAGCCUAGGUCGGAUUAGCUAGUUGGUGAGGUAAUGGCUCACCAAGGCGACGAUCCGUAACUGGUCUGAGAGGAUGAUCAGUCACACUGGAACUGAGACACGGUCCAGACUCCUACGGGAGGCAGCAGUGGGGAAUAUUGGACAAUGGGCGAAAGCCUGAUCCAGCCAUGCCGCGUGUGUGAAGAAGGUCUUCGGAUUGUAAAGCACUUUAAGUUGGGAGGAAGGGCAUUAACCUAAUACGUUAGUGUUUUGACGUUACCAACAGAAUAAGCACCGGCUAACUCCGUGCCAGCAGCCGCAGUAAAAC
rnacentral:rRNA from 1 species